rnacentral:piRNA from 1 species
UGUGCCCUUAAAGUUUAUCUGCUUUUCCAAC